UAGCAUCCUAUCAAGAGUCACUACGUAAACUUAUUUUCUUUCUCCACUAUAAAGAAAAUAACUAAGCAACGAUAUUUUUUUUUUUUUUUUGCAACGAUAUAUCAAGCACAAAAGAAAUAGAAAACGCACGUACGUCAUAAUAAGUUCGUCUGGUGUAAAUCUUUUACAUAUUUCUCAUUGGUUGCUUUCAUUUAAGAGUUUCAAGUUCAAACGAAUAAAUUCAUUGCAAGAAAUUGGAUUCAAACUAAAUAUGAGACUUGAAAAAAG
rnacentral:lncRNA from 1 species